CCUACGGGAGGCAGCAGUGAGGAAUAUUGGUCAAUGGCCGGAAGGCUGAACCAGCCAUGCCGCGUGAAGGUCAGUGCCCUAUGGGCGUUAAACUUCUUUUGUGCGGGAGCAAUAAUGGUCACGUGUGGCCAGACGAGAGUACCGUACGAAUAAGCAUCGGCUAACUCCGUGCCAGCAGCCGCGGUAAUACGGGGGAUGCAAGCGUUAUCCGGAUUUAUUGGGUUUAAAGGGUGCGUAGGCUGGGAGGUAAGUCAGCGGUGAAAUGCCCCCGCUCAACGGGGUGAAGUGCCAUUGAUACUGCCUGGCUGGAGUGCGGAUGCCGUGGGAGGAAUGUGUGGUGUAGCGGUGAAAUGCAUAGAUAUCACGCAGAACACCGAUUGCGAAGGCAUCUCACGAAUCCGCGAUUGACGCUGAUGCACGAAAGCGUGGGUAUCAAACAGGAUUAGAUACCCCAGUAGUC
rnacentral:rRNA from 1 species